CUAUCGUUCGCGGUAGCACACUUGUCAAUUUUAACAAUACAGAGAAGAUUAGCAUUGUCCUUGCAUAAAGAUGACACGCUUUACAAAGAGAUUUACCAUUUUUUUUU